rnacentral:rRNA from 1 species
CCUACGGGAGGCAGCAGUAGGGAAUCUUCGGCAAUGGACGAAAGUCUGACCGAGCAACGCCGCGUGAGUGAAGAAGGUUUUCGGAUCGUAAAACUCUGUUGUUAGAGAAGAACAAGGACGUUAGUAACUGAACGUCCCCUGACGGUAUCUAACCAGAAAGCCACGGCUAACUACGUGCCAGCAGCCGCGGUAAUACGUAGGUGGCAAGCGUUGUCCGGAUUUAUUGGGCGUAAAGCGAGCGCAGGCGGUUUCUUAAGUCUGAUGUGAAAGCCCCCGGCUCAACCGGGGAGGGUCAUUGGAAACUGGGAGACUUGAGUGCAGAAGAGGAGAGUGGAAUUCCAUGUGUAGCGGUGAAAUGCGUAGAUAUAUGGAGGAACACCAGUGGCGAAGGCGGCUCUCUGGUCUGUAACUGACGCUGAGGCUCGAAAGCGUGGGGAGCAAACAGGAUUAGAUACCCUGGUAGUC